rnacentral:rRNA from 1 species
UAAAGACCCAUCUUUAACCAAGGUUGACCUCGGAUCAGGUAGGAAUACCCGCUGAACUUAAGCAUAUCAAUAAGCGGAGGAAAAGAAACCAACAGGGAUUGCCCUAGUAACGGCGAGUGAAGCGGCAACAGCUCAAAUUUGAAAUCUGGCUUCGGCCCGAGUUGUAAUUUGUAGAGGAUGCUUUUGGUGAGGUGCCUUCUGAGUUCCCUGGAACGGGACGCCAGAGAGGGUGAGAGCCCCGUAUAGUCGGCCACCGAUCCUUUGUAAAGCUCCUUCGACGAGUCGAGUAGUUUGGGAAUGCUGCUCAAAAUGGGAGGUAUAUCUCUUCUAAAGCUAAAUAUAGGCCAGAGACCGAUAGCGCACAAGUAGAGUGAUCGAAAGAUGAAAAGCACUUUGAAAAGAGGGUUAAAUAGCACGUGAAAUUGUUGAAAGGGAAGCGCUUGUGACCAGACUUGUGCCGGGCUGAUCAUCCAGUGUUCUCACUGGUGCACUCGACCCGGCUCAGGCCAGCGUCGGUUUUCGCGGGGGGAUAAAAGCUUCGGGAACGUGGCACCUUCGGGUGUGUUAUAGCCCGUUGCUUAAUACCUCCGUGGGGACCGAGGU